CGUCUCUGUUCUAAUGCUCUUCUUAAUGUGCUUGAGGAAAAAACAAAACCACAUUAUGGAUACUUACUGAAGUUGUUAUUAAUAAUGAACAAUCGGAAAUACUUAAAUGACCAAAGGUUCUUUUCUUCCCAUGUCUGCUUUGAGAUAUCUGCUGCUGAUACUGCACAAAGAUUUAAGGAUUUACCAAUUGCAUUUCUUUAAAGCAACGUCUCCUGACAUCAGUAGUGGUUUCAAGAACAAACUACAAACUUAUUCCCUCUUUUACAGCUUUCAAGUCUUGGGGCAAAUUAUUUAUCUUAGUUCCUGCGUAAAACAAAAAACCACAAGAGUUAGGGUCGGAACCGGAAAGUUAAAAAUUUACGUUCAAUCCCUUCCUGCAUCUUACCACAGUCCACCAGCGCAGAAAAGUAGAAAUCAGUCAAUGGAAAUUCCACCAGAUUGCUACAAUUGUAAUUUUCACCCAAUCCUUUUUUAAAAACUCCUGUUUUUAAAAUUAACCACUUCCCAACACAAUUUGACUUCAUUUUCUCAUUCAGUCUUUCAUGAAAGUGGAGCACAACUGAGCUACUUUUACAUGAGGUACUUAGAAGCCUGAUUUCAAUUACUCUUUUACCUUGUUAACUCUAUGUUCUUUAAAGACUAUUAUUCCAUUACUUCAUCUCUUCCAGGAGAAAAAAAAAAUCAUCUUUUUUCAAUAUUACAAUGAAACUAGUUUUUCCUCUGUUACUAUUUCAGUCUUUUGAGCGGUUAGUUUCUUCACAUUUGCUCUUACCCUGAAUUGCAUUUCUGUAAAAAGAACAAGCUCUUAAAAG
rnacentral:lncRNA from 1 species